UACACAUGCAAGUCGAACGGCAGCACGGACUUCGGUCUGGUGGCGAGUGGCGAACGGGUGAGUAAUGUAUCGGAACGUGCCCAGCAGCGGGGGAUAACUACGCGAAAGCGUAGCUAAUACCGCAUACGCCCUACGGGGGAAAGCAGGGGAUCGCAAGACCUUGCACUAUUGGAGCGGCCGAUAUCGGAUUAGCUAGUUGGUGGGGUAACGGCUCACCAAGGCGACGAUCCGUAGCUGGUUUGAGAGGACGACCAGCCACACUGGGACUGAGACACGGCCCAGACUCCUACGGGAGGCAGCAGUGGGGAAUUUUGGACAAUGGGGGAAACCCUGAUCCAGCCAUCCCGCGUGUGCGAUGAAGGCCUUCGGGUUGUAAAGCACUUUUGGCAGGAAAGAAACGUCGUGGGUUAAUACCCCGCGAAACUGACGGUACCUGCAGAAUAAGCACCGGCUAACUACGUGCCAGCAGCCGCGGUAAUACGUAGGGUGCAAGCGUUAAUCGGAAUUACUGGGCGUAAAGCGUGCGCAGGCGGUUCGGAAAGAAAGAUGUGAAAUCCCAGAGCUUAACUUUGGAACUGCAUUUUUAACUACCGGGCUAGAGUGUGUCAGAGGGAGGUGGAAUUCCGCGUGUAGCAGUGAAAUGCGUAGAUAUGCGGAGGAACACCGAUGGCGAAGGCAGCCUCCUGGGAUAACACUGACGCUCAUGCACGAAAGCGUGGGGAGCAAACAGGAUUAGAUAUCCUGGUAGUCCACGCCCUAAACGAUGUCAACUAGCUGUUGGGGCCUUCGGGCCUUGGUAGCGCAGCUAACG
rnacentral:rRNA from 1 species